GGUCCCAUAGUAUAACUGGAUAGUACUUCCGCCUCCUAAGCGGCCAAUUCCGGUUCGAGCCCGGAUGGGACCA
rnacentral:tRNA from 2 species